rnacentral:rRNA from 1 species
AUUGAACGCUGGCGGCAUGCUUUACACAUGCAAGUCGAACGGCAGCGUGGGCUUCGGCCUGGCGGCGAGUGGCGAACGGGUGAGUAAUACAUCGGAACGUGCCCAGUAGUGGGGGAUAGCUCGGCGAAAGCCGGAUUAAUACCGCAUACGACCUGAGGGUGAAAGCGGGGGAUCUUCGGACCUCGCGCUAUUGGAGCGGCCGAUGGCAGAUUAGCUAGUUGGUGGGGUAAAGGCCUACCAAGGCGACGAUCUGUAGCUGGUCUGAGAGGACGACCAGCCACACGGGGACUGAGACACGGCCCAGACUCCUACGGGAGGCAGCAGUGGGGAAUUUUGGACAAUGGGCGAAAGCCUGAUCCAGCAAUGCCGCGUGUGUGAUGAAGGCCUUCGGGUUGUAAAGCACUUUUGGCGGGAACGAAAAGGACUGUGCCAAUACCACGGUUCGAUGACGGUACCCGCAGAAUAAGCACCGGCUAACUACGUG